GUGCAACCUGCCUUUAUCAGGGGUAUAGCCUUUCGAAAGGAAGAUUAAUACCCCAUAAUAUAUAGAGUGGCAUCACUUUAUAUUGAACACUGACGUGGAUAAAGAUGGGCACGCGCAAGAUUAGAUAGUUGGUGAGGUAACGGCUCACCAAGUCGAUGAUCUUUAGGGGGCCUGAGAGGGUGAUCCCCCACACUGGUACUGAGACACGGACCAGACUCCUACGGGAGGCAGCAGUGAGGAAUAUUGGACAAUGGGUUAGCGCCUGAUCCAGCCAUCCCGCGUGAAGGACGACGGCCCUAUGGGUUGUAAACUUCUUUUGUACAGGGAUAAACCUUUCCACGUGUGGGAAGCUGAAGGUACUGUACGAAUAAGCACCGGCUAACUCCGUGCCAGCAGCCGCGGUAAUACGGAGGGUGCAAGCGUUAUCCGGAUUUAUUGGGUUUAAAGGGUCCGUAGGCGGAUGCGUAAGUCAGUGGUGAAAUCUCACAGCUCAACUGUGAAACUGCCAUUGAUACUGCGUGUCUUGAGUGAGGUUGAAGUAGCUGGAAUAAGUAGUGUAGCGGUGAAAUGCAUAGAUAUUACUUAGAACAC
rnacentral:rRNA from 1 species